GCGGUGCGCACGAAGGCGUACUUGUCGAGCGCGAUGUCGUCGAGCAGACCGGUGGUCGACAGCAGGCCGGCGCGGGUGCUGACCAGCCGCAGCGCG
rnacentral:tRNA from 1 species